rnacentral:rRNA from 1 species
CCUACGGGGAGGCAGCAGUGGGGAAUCUUGCGCAAUGGGCGAAAGCCUGACGCAGCAACGCCGCGUGCGGGAAGAAGGCUUUCGGGCUGUAAACCGCUUUCAGCAGGAACGAAAAUGACGGUACCUGCAGAAGAAGGAGCGGCCAACUAUGUGCCAGCAGCCGCGGUGAUACAUAGGCUUCAAGCGUUGUCCGGAUUUAUUGGGCGUAAAGAGUUCGUAGGCGGUCAAGUAAGUCGGGUGUGAAAAUUCUGGGCUCAACCCAGAGACGCCACCCGAUACUGCUUAACUUGAGUUCGAUAGGGGAGUGGGGAAUUCCUAGUGUAGCGGUGAAAUGCGCAGAUAUUAGGAGGAACACCGGUGGCGAAGGCGCCACUCUGGAUCGAUACUGACGCUGAGGAACGAAAGCAUGGGUAGCAAACAGGAUUAGAUACCCUGGUAGUCCAUGCCGUAAACGGUGGGCACUAGGUGUGGGUUUCUAUUAACGAAAUCCGCGCCGUCGCUAACGCAUUAAGUGCCCCGCCUGGGGAGUACGGUCGCAAGACUAAAACUCAAAGNGAAUGACGNGNGAGAGCGACGACGACGACGAGAGGAGAG